GCAUCAGUGGUCUAACGGUUAUGAUGCGACCUUCCCAUGGCGUUGUAAUAUAUUUGUUUAGGUCGCGAACGGGGUUCGACUCCCCGCUGAUGCA